UCUGCGCUACAGGAGCCGAGCAGCACAACAAGGGUGUGGUGACUCGGGAGGGAGGAAUUUCCUCGGGACAGACUAAUGUUUAAACAGUUAUACAUAACAGGCGAGGAGGAGAGUUUUUGAGGACAUUACCAAAAGGUCAUUCACACGUGUAACUUUGAGAGGACUGCCUGAGCAUCAAUUGGUCAUUAUGGAUCAAUGAACAUAGAAAACAACAAAACAAGCUGGAGGCUGCGUUGAACUACUGAGUUAUCCAUCAAUUUUCCAGGGAAGUGUACUCAUGAGAGUGUAGGAGGACAAGAUGUCCACAAAUCACCCAUACUCCACUAAGGCAGCUAAAUUGCGAUUAUAAACACAACCCCAUCGCCCUGCUGCUCAGAUGAGUGAAGCUGAGAGGUCAAGAAGACGCAAGGGAAGGAGAGAGAUCGGGAGAUCAAAUGAGGGGAGAGGGACAUGAGGCUUCAGAAUUUUAGGAUUGGUUUAAAAACCGCCUUAUGUUUCUCCUACACACUCAGACAUUGUCUCUGCCACCCUGCUGCCACUGUAGCUGUAACAACCAUUAAGAAAUAAA